rnacentral:rRNA from 1 species
GACGUAGGGCGCGAGCGUUGUCCGGAUUUAUUGGGCGUAAAGAGCUCGUAGGCGGCUUGUUGCGUCGGCUGUGAAAUCUCGUGGCUUAACUGCGGGCUUGCAGCUGAUACGGGCGGGCUAGAGUUCGGUAGGGGAGACUGGAAUUCCUGGUGUAGCGGUGAAAUGCGCAGAUAUCAGGAGGAACACCGGUGGCGAAGGCGGGUCUCUGGGCCGAUACUGACGCUGAGGAGCGAAAGCGUGGGGAGCAAACAGG